GCCAGCCCGCUCAGAAACUCAAAGGAAUUGACGGGGCCGCACAAGCGGAGGAGCAUGUGGUUUAAUUCGAUGAUACGCGAGGAACCUUACCUGGGCUCGAACGUAAGAUGACUGUAGGUGAAAGCUUACAUCUCUUCGGAGCAUUUUACGAGGUGCUGCAUGGUUGUCGUCAGCUCGUGCCGUGAGGUGUCGGGUUAAGUCCCAUAACGAGCGCAACCCUACCUUUAGUUGCCAUCAGGUAAUGCUGGGGACUCUAAAGGAACUGCCUACGCAAGUAGUGAGGAAGGCGGGGAUGACGUCAAAUCAGCACGGCCCUUACGUCCAGGGCUACACACGUGCUACAAUGGCCGAUACAGAGGGCAGCUACCUGGUGACAGGAUGCAAAUCUCCAAAGUCGGUCUCAGUUCGGAUCGGAGUCUGCAACCCGACUCCGUGAAGUUGGAUUCGCUAGUAAUCGCGCAUCAGCCAUGGCGCGGUGAAUACGUUCCCGGGCCUU
rnacentral:rRNA from 1 species